UACGGAGGAUGCAAGCGUUAUCCGGAAUGAUUGGGCGUAAAGCGUCCGCAGGUGGCAAUGUAAGUCUGCUGUUAAAGAGUCUAGCUCAACUAGAUAAAAGCAGUGGAAACUACAUAGCUAGAGUACGUUCGGGGCAGAGGGAAUUCCUGGCGUAGCGGUGAAAUGCGUAGAGAUCAGGAAGAACACCGGUGGCGAAGGCGCUCUGCUAGGCCGUAACUGACACUGAGGGACGAAAGCUAGGGGAGCGAAUGGG
rnacentral:rRNA from 1 species